ensembl:lncRNA
CUGCCCUGCCGGAAGCUGGGCCCGCGGUUUGUGGGGCCGUUCAAAGUCCUGAGGAGAGUGAACGAGGUAACCUACAAGUUACAACUUCCCCCUGAUUACAGGAUUAAUGCCUCGUUCCAUGUGUCUCUCCUCAGGCCGGUGGUGGCUGGUCCCCUCCAGCAGUCUGAGGUGCGGGAGGUCCCUCCGCCCCCUCUGGACAUUGAGGGGGGCCCGGCGCGCCGGGGGGGGGGGCCUGCAGUACCUGGUGGAGUGGGAGGGGUACGGCCCGGAGGAGCGUUGCUGGGUGCCGGCGGUGGAUGUUCUUGAUCCGGAGCUCCUCGCCGACUUCCAUCGUCGGCGCCCUGAUCGUCCUGCGCGGCGUCUUCCGGGUCGGCCCCGGGG